rnacentral:lncRNA from 1 species
CCUGGCAAGCCUCCAGGUAUUGGUCCAUGCGAGUCUACAGUGGUGCAAGAAAGGAUGUGGCAGUGUUAAUGGCACUAAAAUAAAAAAUAAAAUUUUUCUUUGGAAUGAACCU